ACGCAGAUAUAUAUGAUUCCUAGAUUAACUCCUUUAGGAUGUAAUCAAUUCUUGACAAUUCCUAUCAUCUCCAAGUAUUUCAUUCCCGUUCCUUAAAAAUCAUUCUCAGUUUUGUUUCACGAGAUAAUAGAACGAUCAAUGAAAUAGAAGAAAACUACUUUUUAACGAUUUCAUUUGCCUAGGAAGACAAGAGAAGACAA
rnacentral:lncRNA from 1 species